GGCUUCACACCACUUUUCCUUGCUGUGUGUAACACAAGACAGCGAAUGGUGGAGUUUUUAAUAAAGAAAAAUGCAAACGUAAAUGCAGUUGAUAGUUGGAAAAGUGUAUUUUGAUUUUUUCAAAAUAAGUAUGCAUAGAGGGAAGAAAGUUACCUUAAAUUGGAUAAACGUGAAAUGAAGACAAGCCAUGGCAUUUACAAAAAACUUUCAGAAUAUGAAGAGGAAAGAUACCAAAUGACAAUAAGAACUGCAAAAAUCUUCAAAGUCCUUCUCAAAAUAGCAAUUCAGCAAACUGGGAACUGAUAUUCCAUGUAUUAAAUCACAGCACAUGUUAAAUGAUGAAGAUGUCAUUGGUCCUGAUCCUGAGACUGAAGGCCCUCUUAAAAAUGACAGAAAAAAUAAAUGGACAUGGAAAUGGAAAUGUCUUUCAUGAAGAUGUAAAAAUAAGUCAAUUUGAGAAGGAUAUUGAGAUCAAAAAGCUAAAAUUCAAGAGCUAAGGAAACACUAAAAGAGGUCAAGGCCAACCUUCUUGUAAAGGAAGAGAAGACCAGAUCUCUGUCCACCACUCACACUUUGAAGUCACUCCUACAGUCCUCUUUCCUUGGAAAUCUUAAGGUAAGUAUCAUUGUCAAAAGAAAAUUUAUUCCAAGGGUAAACGUAGUGAUACUUGCCUAAAGUGGAAAGACUUGUGAACUAUGUGACCCAGGUUAAUUACAUUAUCUUUUUCUUGGGUUUCAUAUUUCUGAUAUAAUUCUUGUUUUUAAUGCCUUGACAUACUGAGUUGCUUAAUUGACUUACACAUUUUAAGUAAAAGUCAUAAUAUCUGUGUUAAUAGAGAAAGGAAACAGAAAUUAAAAAAUUUUUUAAGUCUCUGGAGCCCUCAUUUUCAAGAGAUAGCCAUUUGUUGUUAACUUUAGCCAUUAAACAUAUCUAAACUGACACAUUUUAAAUUUCUUUAAAAGCUGCAUUCAAGUUAAUACUAGAAAUUGAGUAUUAUCGUCUAAUAACUACACGUGUACUUUGAGAUGCUUUGGCUUACUUUCUAAUCGAUUGUCAUUUGACUUUGGUUCCUAACACUUUUAAAGUUUUCUUGCACCAUGUUAAGUUGUCCACCACUAAUCAUAAGUGAAUGACUGACAUCCUAACAUUCAACCACAGAUGGAUGUUUAUUAUUAAAAGGAAUCCAAGAUAAACACUUUCUAUGAAUGAAACAAAACCUGAAACACUAAAACAGAUUAAUUUUUGUAUUUAAGUUAAAAUAUAUGUCAUUUUUUAAAUAUAAGAGUACAUCCUAAUUGCUAUUGUACUCUUGGCAUUUUCAUCUCAAUUUUUGUGAAAUGUGUCUAUUGCUGGGCAAUUGUACGACAGUUUUUAAACUGUUAAAUCAAGCAAAUAUUUGAAUUUUUAAAAUGAAGUUCACUUAUGUCUAUUUUGCCAUCACUGGAAUGAUUAAUAACUAAUAUGGCAAUGAUAUUAAGAAACUGUAAGUGCAACUAUGAUCAAACAGAAUGAAUUAUAUUCUUCUUAGGCAAAAUUCCGUAUAAAGCCACACAUGGGCCCCAUCCCCCCGGAGAUAUAGCAGGAGCCUUCCAAUCCAACCAUGUGAUUUCACUCAUAGUGAGAAUCCAUUUUGGGGAUCUCAAAAUGAAUCCAACCAUGAUAAGCUGUAUCAAUUUUAGAGCUCAUAAGGAAAAAAAAUAGUUUAUGCUUGACCCAGUUUAGGAUAUUUUUCUAAUGUUUGGCCAUUUUUC